AUAACAAAAACCUAAACCUACCCAUAAACCAAUACCAAUUCAACACCCAAUAUGAGUUAUCAAAAACCUUUAACCAUUACCAUAUCUACCACUUAUCCUAAAAACUCCUUAACCACAAAAGUCUCUCCACAAACAAAUACCACCUUCCCUAAAACUACAAACCUUCCAAAGAAAAUUCCUAGCACUUUAACCAGUAAAGAUAUAGAUGAGAAGAGAGCAAAGAAUUUAUGUUACUAGUGCGAUGAAAAAUAUUCUCCAGGCCAUAAAUGUGAGAAAAGACAAAUUUAUG
rnacentral:misc_RNA from 1 species